CCAUGCCGAGUGUGUGAAGAAGGCUUUUGGUUGUAAAGCACUUUAAGCGAGGAGGAGGAGCUCUAGACUAAUACUCUAGAUGCUUGGACGUUACUCGCAGAAUAAGCACCGGCUAACUCUGUGCCAGCAGCCGCGGUAAUACAGAGGGUGCAAGCGUUAAUCGGAUUUACUGGGCGUAAAGCGUGCGUAGGUGGUCUUUUAAGUCGGAUGUGAAAUCCCUGAGCUUAACUUAGGAAUUGCAUUCGAUACUGGGAGACUAGAGUAUGGGAGAGGAUGGUAGAAUUCCAGGUGUAGCGGUGAAAUGCGUAGAGAUCUGGAGGAAUACCGAUGGCGAAGCAGCCAUCUGGCCUAAUACUGACACUGAGGUACGAAAGCAUGGGGAGCAAACAGGAUUAGAUACCUGGUAGUCCAUGCCGUAACGAUGUCUACUACCGUUGGGGCCUUUGAGGCUUUA
rnacentral:rRNA from 1 species